UGCCGCGGUUAUACGAGGGACUCAAGUUGAUAGACAGCGGCGUAAAGCGUGGUUAUGGACCUCCCCCUCCCAUACUAAAGUUAAACACCCCUCAAACUGUUAUACGCAUCCAGGGAACGGAUACCCGCCCACGAAAGUGACUUUAACAUUACUCCUGAACCCACGAAAGCUAAGAAA
rnacentral:rRNA from 1 species